rnacentral:rRNA from 1 species
AUUGAACGCUGGCGGCAGGCUUAACACAUGCAAGUCGAGCGGAGCGGCGGACGGGUGAGUAAUGCUUAGGAAUCUGCCCUUUAGUGGUGGAUAACAUCUCGCAAGGGAUGCUAAUACCGUAUCUUAUUAGUUACGCCUAAGUCGGUUGCGCUAGUUGGUGGGGUUAAGGCCUACCAAGGCGACGAUCUGUCGGGGGUCUGAGCGGCUGAUCCGCCACACUGGGACUGAGACACGGCCCAGGCUCCUACGGGAGGCAGCAGUGGGGAAUAUUGGGCAAUGGGGGGAACCCUGAUCCAGCCAUGCCGCGUGUGUGAAGAAGGCCUUAUGGUUGUAAAGCACUUUAAGCGAGGAGGCGUUACUCGCAGAAUAAGCACCGGCUAACUCUGUGCCAGCCGCCGCGGUAAUAC